AGCAGUCGCCACGGGAAUACGAAGGGGGCUAGCGUUGCUCGGAAUGACUGGGCGUAAAGGGCGCGUAGGCGGAUUGUUUAGUUAGGCGUAAAAUUCCUGGGCUUAACCUGGGGACUGCGCUUAAUACAGGCAGUCUAGAGUGAGGAAGAGGGUUGUGGAAUUCCCAGUGUAGAGGUGAAAUUCGUAGAUAUUGGGAAGAACACCGGUGGCGAAGGCGGCAACCUGGUCCUUGACUGACGCUGAGGCGCGAAAGCGUGGGGAGCAAACAGGAUUAGAUACCCCAGUAGUCUCUGUCUCUUAUAC
rnacentral:rRNA from 1 species